AGCAGUAUGGUGUAAGGUAGCACGCAGGCAUUCAGUGAGCGUUGACUUCGUAAGUGAACGUCCCGAAGUCUUUGUUCGAAUCAAGGUGCUGCUA